GAGGAAGUAGAAGGCUUAGCUGACACAUUAAUUGUUGAACUUGUCAAUGAUGAUGUUAUCGAAACCGUAUGUGAUGAUGAUGAUGAAGAUGAGGUCAAUGAAUCAAGUCAAGAUGAUGAAGAACAUGAUGACAAUGAUAUGGACAAUUGGGACUUUGAAAACACUGAUGACUAAUGUAUAAUAUUUUUUAUUAUUUGACAACUAAUAUGAAAAUGUACCUAACUUAAUUGAUGAUGUCAUUUUUUUUAGGAGAAAUGCCGAGGACCAGAGGAAGGGAUGGUUCUGUUAUCAGACAUAACAAUGCUAGGCGUGGAGUUCACACAUCUAUGCAUGGUCGUCUUGCAAUAGAACUAGGGUCCAUCCCUUAUUCUGGCCCAUCAAACCAAUCCCGUUUUCCUCAAUCCUUCACGCCCUCUUCCUCCACCCCUUCUUCUUCUUUGACCCCUUCUUCCUCAACCCCCUCCUCUUCCUUUCGUUCU
rnacentral:lncRNA from 1 species